rfam:Salinivirga cyanobacteriivorans strain L21-Spi-D4 chromosome, complete genome.
UUCAGAGCGAUCUGAGCACUGAAGGAAGCGAAACUGCAAAGACCUGUACUGACGCACAGGAAGUGCAUACAGAGGCAGGAAAAGGAGGGUUAGCAAUCACAGCUUUGCAAAGCCUGAAAUCAGCAUUCUUUUCCUGUAGAUGCAACAGGAAUAGGUCGAAGGACGAUGUU